CAGUCCAGCUCCAACCCUGCAGCUGGGAGAGGAGCCCCAGCCCCGGGAGUCCCAGGUGUUCCCAUUCUGUGAUCAGCACAGAACAUAGACACCUCACCAUGGAGUUUGUGCUUGGCUGGGUUUUCCUUGUUGCUCUUUUAAAAGGUGUCCAGUGUGACGUGCAGCUGGUGGAGUCUGGGGGAGACCUGGUGAAGCCUGGGGGGUCCCUGAGACUCACCUGUGUGGCCUCUGGAUUCACCUUCAGUAGCUAUAGCAUGCACUGGGUCCGCCAGGCUCCAGGGAAGGGGCUGCAGUGGGUCGCAUACAUUUAUGAUGAUGGAAGUAGCACAAGCUACGCAGACUCCGUGAAGGGCCGAUUCACCAUCUCCAGAGACAACGCCAAGAACACGCUGUAUCUGCAGAUGAACAGCCUCAAGACCGAGGACACGGCCACAUAUUACUGUGCAGAUCCCCAUUGGUUCAACUACUGGGGCCCCGGGACCCCGGUCACCGUGUCUUCAGAGUCCAAAACCAGCCCCCGUGUCUUCCCGCUGAGCCUCAGGACCAGUGACCCAGCCGAGCAAGUGGUCAUUGCCUGCCUGGUGCAAGGGUUCUUCCCGCCGGAGCCCGUGAGAGUGACUUGGAGCCCCAGCAAGGAAGGCGCGUCCAUCCGGAACUUCCCCGCAGUGAAGUCUGCUUCCGGGAACCUGUACACCACGAGCAGCCAGCUGACCCUGCCGGCUAGCCAGUGCCCCGAUGGCGCGUCCCUGCAAUGCCAAGUGGAGCACUAUUCCAGCACCAGCCCGCCCGUGUCUGUGCCCUGCAGAGUUCCAGUUGGCCCCCCUCCUCAGUGUUCCCCGUGCAAUGAACCCCGCCUGUCACUACACAAGCCCGCCCUCGAGGACCUGCUUCUGGGCUCCAAUGCCAGCAUCACGUGCACACUGAGCGGCCUGAAAAACCCCAAGGGUGCCCUGUUCUCCUGGACACCUUCAGGGGGGAAGGAGGCCAUCCAGAAGCCCCCAGAGCAUGACUCCUGCGGCUGCUACAGUGUGUCCAGUGUCCUUCCAGGCUGCGCUGAGCCAUGGAACCACGGGGAGAACUUCUCCUGCACCGCCACCCAUCCCGAGCUCAAAACGCCAAAAACUGACACCAUCUCCAAAGUCCUAGAGAACACUUUCCGGCCCCAGGUCCACCUGCUGCCGCCGCCGUCGGAAGAGCUGGCCCUCAAUGAGCUGGUGUCGCUGACGUGCCUUGUGCGAGGCUUCAGCCCCAAGGAUGUGCUGGUUCGUUGGCUGCAAGGAUCCCAGGAGCUGUCCCGGGAGAAGUACCUGACCUGGGGCCCCCUGCAGGAGCCCGACCAGAGCAUCCCCACCUUCGCCACGACCAGUGUGCUGCGAGUGUCGGCCGAGGACUGGAAGCAGGGGGAGAAGUUCUCCUGCAUGGUGGGGCACGAGGCCCUGCCCCUGGCCUUCACCCAGAAGACCAUCGACCGCCUGGCGGGUAAACCCACCCACGUCAACGUGUCUGUGGUCAUGUCGGAUGUGGAAGGCGUCUGCUACUGAACUGCCUACCUGCCCCUCCCUGAAUAAACUCCGUACUGGCCCAAAGCA